CUGGUAUGUAAUACACUAUAUGUUAAAACACAGAAUUAAAAAGACUGAUAUUCAGCAUUAAGGGACUUGGAUCUGAUCAUAUAAGCUGAUAUUUAGCACUAAGAGACUCAGAUCAGAUCAUAUUAGCUGAUAAUUAACAUUAAGAGACUUAGAUAGGAUGAUAUUUGCUGAUACCUAGCUUCCAGAGACUCAGAUUGGAUCAUAUAAGGUGAUAUUUAGCAUUAAGGGACUCAGAUUGGAUCAUAUAAGGUGAUAUUUAGCAUUAAGGGACUCAGAUUGGAUCAUAUAAGGUGAUAUUUAGCAUUAAGAGACUCAGAUUGGAUCAUAUAAGGUGAUAUUUAGCAUUAAGAGACUCAGAUUGGAUCAUAUAAGGUGAUAUUUAGCAUUAAGGGACUCAGAUUGGAUCAUAUAAGGUGAUAUUUAGCAUUAAGAGACUCAGAUUGGAUCAUAUAAGGUGAUAUUUAUCAUUAAGAGACUCAGAUUGGAUCAUAUAAGGUGAUAUUUAGCAUUAAGGGACUCAGAUUGGAUCAUAUAAGGUGAUAUUUAGCAUUAAGAGACUCAGAUUGGAUAAUAUAAGGUGAUAUUUAGCAUUAAGAGACUCAGAUUGGAUAAUAUAAGGUGAUAUUUAGCAUUAAGG